GUUAAACGCUGGCGGCAUGCCUUACACAUGCAAGUCGAACGGCAGCACGGGGGCAACCCUGGUGGCGAGUGGCGGACGGGUGAGUAAAGCAUCGGAACGUAUCCUGGAGUGGGGGAUAACGUAGCGAAAGUUACGCUAAUACCGCAUAUUCUGUGAGCAGGAAAGCAGGGGAUCGCAAGACCUUGCGCUCUGGGAGCGGCCGAUGUCGGAUUAGCUAGUUGGUGGGGUAAAGGCCUACCAAGGCGACGAUCCGUAGCGGGUCUGAGAGGAUGAUCCGCCACACUGGGACUGAGACACGGCCCAGACUCCUACGGGAGGCAGCAGUGGGGAAUUUUGGACAAUGGGCGCAAGCCUGAUCCAGCCAUGCCGCGUGAGUGAAGAAGGCCUGGUGU
rnacentral:rRNA from 1 species